UCAUAGGCUAGCUGUUUUACAAUCUUAUCAUUGGCAGCCGCGGAACCAAGGGUCCUUUCGGCGGCCUCUAACAGUCUGCUAACAAAUUCGCUAUAGUCUUCUUGCGAGCUUUGAGUGAUCUUAGUUAGAGGAGUGUUAGCAGUCCUGGAAGCAGGGAGUGAUAUCCAAGCGCCCAAAGCGGCAUCUUUCACUUGAGAUAAAAGACCAAGGGGAAGGCGCUGCUGCCUGGUUUCAGAGAUAUAUCUGCCCUGUCCCGUAAGCUUAUCAAAAGUCCAGGACGCUGUUGGGGAAUGAGGGUCUUUUACAUUGGCAGCAGCGAUGGUCUGACAGCGGUCAGCAAAAUCUGCCUUCCAAGUUAAAAACUGACCACGGGUAAGCACAGCCUGGACUAUACGCAGCCAUUCACCUGGGAGUAAAUGUCCUCCUCGAGACAGCGAAUCAAGAACAGAAAGGGUAAAAGGGGCAUUGGGGCCAUAAGCUUUAACGGCCGCGUUCAGCUCUUUUAAGCUUUUGAAAUGGAUUUUGUGAAAUUCUCUAGGGCCAUCAGCAGGCUCGGCCGGCUCUGGCUCAGCCUGCUCCUCUCCCUCACUUUCUAUUUCCUGAGCAGCAGGGGCGUCUUCGCCGUCGCUUUCAAGAUCGCCCUCUUCCGGACUAUGUGUUGUGGAGGUGGGGCCAGAGCGGGCGGAGGCCCGGGAUGAAUUUCGGGGCCAUUAAUGAUAAACCACGGACAGACUUCAUCAACAAAAAUAAAAAACUUUACCAAGUCUUUCUUUUUAACUCGAA